GAUGAACGCUGGCGGCGCGCCUAACACAUGCAAGUCGAACGGUUAAAGCACCUUUUAGGUGUGUAUAAAGUGGCGAACGGCUGAGUAACACGUGGGCAACCUGCCCUCCUCUUGGGGAUAGCCUCGGGAAACCGAGGAUAAUACCCGAUACUUCAAUGUGGCCGCAUGACGACAUUGAGAAAGCUUUUGCGGAGAAGGAUGGGCCCGCGGCCUGUUAGCUUGUUGGUGGGGUAGAGGCCUACCAAGGCAAUGAUGGGUAGCUGGGCUGAGAGACCGACCAGCCAGAUUGGGACUGAGACACGGCCCAGACUCCUACGGGAGGCAGCAGUGGGGAAGCUUGCACAAUGGGCGAAAGCCUGAUGCAGCGACGCCGCGUGCGGGACGAAGGCCUUCGGGUUGUAAACCGCUUUCAGCAGGGACGAGGCGAUAAGUGACGGUACCUGCAGAAGAAGCCCCGGCUAACUACGUG
rnacentral:rRNA from 1 species